GAUGAAGAACGCAGCGAAAUGCGAUAAGUAAUGUGAAUUGCAGAAUUCAGUGAAUCAUCGAAUCUUUGAACGCACAUUGCGCCCGCCAGUAUUCUGGCGGGCAUGCCUGUUCGAGCGUCAUUUCAACCAUCAAGCCCCCGGCUUGUGUUGGGGACCUGCGGCUGCCGCAGGCCCUGAAAAGCAGUGGCGGGCUCGCUGUCACACCGAGUGUAGUAGCAUACAUCUCGCUCUGGGCGUGCUGCGGGUUCCGGCCGUUAAACCACCUUCAUAACCCAAGGUUGACCUCGGAUCAGGUAGGAAGACCCGCUGAACUUAAGCAUAUCAAUAAGCGGAGGA
rnacentral:misc_RNA from 1 species